CUCUAACCCCAGCCCCUGUACCACCUCUGUGUUGGGGGUUAGAGGUAGUGCUGGGGGUUAGAGGUAGUGCUGGGGGUUAGAGGUAGUACUGGGGGUUAGAGGUAAUGUUGGGGAGAGGACACGGUUGAGGUUGAGGGAAGCAUAUUGAUAUUGAUAGGAACUUGAAUGCCUUCACUGGGUUGAGAGACAGAACUUUCUGGAUAGUUUUUGGAUCACUGUGACUGUUGUGAUGAUGUUAGCUUGAUACUUUCUGUCUUGGGGUGUGUGUGAGGGAGACAUGAACGUGAUACGAGGACAAGCACAGACACGGUGGUUGAGGUGGAGAGGUCCCAGCUGGGGAAGGAAGUAUGUGUGUGGAUUUAGGAUGGUUCGUAGGGGGAUAUGUCUUUCAUCAAAUACUACAUUCUUUGGUCCUCUGAGACGUGUGGCAGCGCGUGC
rnacentral:lncRNA from 1 species